GUUUCCCUUCACUGUUUUCUACCACCACGCUGUAAUUGCCCUCAUCGGAAGCCUGGACUGAAGAGAUCUCAAAGGUUGAUUUGUACUUUGUGGUGGUCACUUGGUGGCGGGCAGAAGUACUUAGCACUUGUCCUUUACGCAGCCAGGUCACAGUUGGUACCGGCUCACCAUCGGUGUCACAAGAAAACCUUGCAGACUCGCCCUCGUAGACGGUCAUGGACCGUGGCUUUGUUAGAAUUCUUGCUGCCAAAGUCGUCUUGAUCUUUCUGGUUGUGGAUUUUUCUUCCAGUGACUUUUCUUCUAAUGCAGCACUUUUCAUUUCUGCAGAUGCAGAGUGUUCAUAUGAGGAGAGACUUUCCCUUGUCUCCGUCAUCUGUGAUUUCACUUCCCUGACAGAAGACGAAGCUUCCAUCUCAGAUGUUUUCUUAAAUGAUGAAACAGCAUACGCCUCUGUUCUUGUCAGCUCAGGGAAAACAGAUCUGGGGACCUCUUCAUCUCUGCGUUGGGAAGCAUAGGUGGUAUAAUCCCCUCCUGUCACGUCCAACGUUGCAUAGUCAGAAGCUUCGCCCUUGUAGUUGGUGCACACAGCACGUUUAGAACCAGCAAAGAACCAGGAAGCAGCAGGAGGUGGACGGCCAGCAAUAGGUAUCACCAGCUCUACUGGUCUGCCAGCUGGGACAUGGAUGGUCUUCUGAGGCAUUGUAGAAAGAUCGAUUGUUGGCAACACUAUGGGAAAGAAAUCAGGCAUUUAUUCUUAAGCAUUAUUUUUAUGGUAAAUUGUUACGAAUUCUGAAUGUUUUCAUUUUACUUUACUUUUUUUUUUUUUUUGG
rnacentral:lncRNA from 1 species